rnacentral:ncRNA from 2 species
GCUUGCAGCAGGAAGCCGGUGUGAAUCCGGCGCGGUCGCGCCACUGUGAUCGGGCCUUGCCCGUCAGCCAGACCUUGCUGCACGC